GUUGAAGAUGCGUGCCCGUGACACAGCCUCAGGGAGUCCUGGCGACAUGUGCCCAAGGUGGUCAGGGCACAGUUUGUUUUCAUACAUUUUAAGGAGACAUGAGACAUCAAUCGAUAUAUGUAAGAAGUACGUUGGUUCCGUCCAGAAAGGCGGGGACAACUCGAAGUGGGGAGGGGGCUUCCAGGUCGCAGGUAGCUGAGAGACAAAUGGUUGCAUUAUUUUGUUUCUGACAAGCCUCUCCAAAGGAGGCAAUCAGGUAUGUGUCUAUCUCAGCGAGCAGAGGAGUGACUGAAUAAAAUGGGAGGCAGGUUUGCCCUGAGUAGUUCCCAGCUUGACUUUUCCCUUCAGCUUAGUGAUUUGUGGGGCCCCAAGAUUUCCCACAAGUGAAAGGAAAAUAUCUCAAUCCCCCGCCCCAAAUCACCAAGCUCAAAGGAAAAUUCAGGUUGGGAACUGCUCAGGCCACACCUGCCUCCCAUUCUAUUCAGUCACCCCUCUGCUCAUGAUGAACAGGAUGCUGCUGAACCCUGGGGUCGCUGGGGCCUUAAAUGACUUUGAUGAUGAGAGACUGGGCAUGGAGAGCUAGAGGCCCUCAUCUCCCUUCCCCAGCGAGUCGGAAGCGUCCCCAUUACUAGUUCCUAGAAUAUGCUGAGAUGUCUCAGGUUGCGGUGUGCAGCUGGGAGUUGCAGCCUGGCAGGAGGCCCAGGUUUUAGCCUGUGAACCGGGGCCCUGCUAUGUAGGCCAGGGUGGCUCUGACCUGGCACUCUGUGGGGCCAGGGCAGACAUAGCAGCAAAGGCCAUGGGGUCACAAAGAGAGAGACUGCAGAAGGAUCAGGAGUAACAGGCAUAAUGGGGCUAUUCUUCCCUAGGCCUGAACACUGGGAAGGCACUGGCAGGGCCCCGGUUUUGAUGGUGGAUUCUUGGAGUAGGGGCCUUGGUAAUAGGGCUCUGAGUGCUGGGGCAGAAUGGGCUAUCUUGACCCUUCAUAGUCAGGGUCCCAAGUGGGCAAUCCUGGAGCCUCCAGGUCUUUGGUCCAGCGGCGGGGUUUUCCACUCAAGGGCCACAGUUCUGGAGGCUGGGAACCAAGAUCAAAGGAUGGGAAGAUUCGGUGUCUG
rnacentral:lncRNA from 10 species